CUGGAAACCGCAUUGCUUCAGACACUUUUCCUUCACAGUUUCCUUCACAAUCUGUCAGGUUUAGCUGUUGAGCCACAUAAACAGUCCAUUACUGGUUGGUGGUCCAUUUUUUCUGACGGGGGGCAAUCAGCACACAAAGCUGUUGUUGUUUACAGCUCAUCAAACACAUAGCUUGACACGUGCACGGUGAGCUGCGUCGUGACUUUGUGCCAAAUGGCCGCCCAGCUGCGUUAUCAUUUUACGGGCCUGCGUCCUGCCCCACAUGCGUCUGUGAUGUUUACAUGCUCCAGGCCUCUCGCUGCACCGGCAGUGAGAAUUCAUGCAUUCAUCACACACACACCUCAUUUAAUUUUUUUACUUGGUCGGCCCCCCCAGAGUAAACCAAUUUCCGCGUGUGCCACCUUGAAUCACAAUUAUAAAAUCACCACCACACUAAUUCAAUAUAGAUAGAUUUAAACGUACACACACACCCUCACUAGCGCACACAUAGAUAAACCCCCACCCGCCGUUGAAUUAGGCAGGGGGGAGAAAGGGGCUGUUGGCUAACCUUGUGCUGAGAAGCAGCCUUGAUAACGGCCACGCAGUCAGGCAGCACAGAAGAGGGGCCCAGACAAUGUCAGCUGGAAAGUAAAUGUCACAGCGGUUUUAUGAAGCGCUAUGAUACCCCCCCCACACACUACCUGGUGAAAUGCAUCACACAGAUUAUUGGUUUGGCUACUGUGGGAUUUCAUAAGGUUGGUCACCCAGAAGAGGACACUGCAUCCAAGCCCACACACACAAACCCCUGUGUUAUCCCUCCCACACACCGAUAUUGCCCAUGUUUGUGGAGCAGGGAAAGCAAAUGGCUAGUUCGACGUCACCCUAGGAAAAUCCAUAAUACAAUUGCUUUUUAUGUCAACAAGUGUUGAUAAAUUGAUGAAGCAAAUGGAAAUGGAAACUUUCUGAAUGUCACUUAUCAGGGAGGGUAAUUGAGGGCUGGUAUGCCGUGGGUAAUGAGAGAACUGUUUGCAGGGGGUUCGAUGCAACACUGGCCGAAGAUGCACAGCGGAUUACGGAGAUCAGAGAAAUUGGUGGCUCAGAACCAAAUCAUGUGAUGCGACAACGAUCGUCAAUCCAUGUUUUGGUUUAUUUGGUUUUGUCCAUUGGGGAAAUGUGUUUUCUUGGUAAACUGCUGGACUAUGGUAGAAGCCCUAGAUUGGAUGCUAUGAAAUAUGAGGUAAUCGGACAAAACGAGGCACGCUCAAACAUUGCCUUGCUAAAUGUAAGCCACUUACAAGCCAACACGAACCGUGACAUGCCUUGUGCUACGGUCUCCUUCUUAAUAUUUCUAACAGGAUAUAUUAUAAAACCACAAUGAGAACAUGUCACACACUUGUGAAUGUCUAAUUUAGACAGAUGCACAAUGAACCAAUUUGGCCACUAAUGAAAUGUUUGAAAGUCUUCUCUAAAAGCCUUUUGCCUCCCCUCCACUCAUCUUUCCUUUCCUUACCACUGUUUUCGUUUAUAGAGAACCCACGAUUUGCUGGCUCUAUACCGAAACAAUACUGCCAGAUGUCACAAUGGGUUUUUCUUCACAUCUAGUGCUCUAGCAUCUGACUAAGCUGUUAACUCCUAUCAUAUGGGCCAUUCAGUCAUUUUGUUUCAUCGCACUGCCACCAUCGUUGACGCUUAACAAUGGAGAUUUGUUUUUAGUUUUUUCACAUUCAUUUAUUUGCAGGACAUUAUUCCCUUGCAUUGGACCAGGGAAGCAGCAAUUCCAAGCUCAGCAUUAUACACAUGUAGGAACAGUUGAUGCUUUAUGUUUCAAACAUGGAAUAUAUCUAAGUCCUAUUGCUAUUCUUGAGUGCUGUUGCCGAACUCUGUUCGUCUUCAUUGAAAACACCAGGCUGGGAAAGGUUUGGAUAGGCAGUGCUAAUGAUUUAGUAUCGAGGCCAAACGCAGAUGUUUCCCUUGUGCAGUGUUUAUCUCUCCCUCUCAGGCUUUAUGGGAAAGAAUUACCAGCCAAUUGUGCUCCAGCUGAGGUACUGGGCUAUUUGUGAGUGAUGCUAAAGUGCAAGGGAAUCUUAAAUCUUUUGAGACAAACAAAUGUUUGAUUUAGAAUGCAAUUAUGUAGCAAAAUCAAUCACUACUAGGACGUCAAUUAUAUUGGUGAAGAUCUUGAUAUUUGAGGAAUAUUAGGAAAUUAUUUUGUAACACAAAAAAAGCAUUGUAAAUCUGAAGUUACUGAGGCCCUAGGUCAGUAAGACAUUAGUGCGUAAGCGGAAAACAGACCUUCAAUCAGGGGAUAAUUCACAAAUCUAUUUCUGAGGCCAACACUGUGUACGGUGUUUCUGCCUUUUUUUCUCUCCUGGAAGUUUAUAUGCUUAUUUGCGAUGGCAUGGGCUAUUUUGGCUGUGCUAGAGCUGCAAUCCCCCUUUCACGUAGGGUCUCAUCUAUCGUUGACAAACGAAUCCCUCUUUGCAGUUUUAAAAGUCCACCAUGCAAGGUCCUUUUUUUAUCAGCACGCUACAAGGCAUAACUGUACCAGUAAGCUGGGCGGCCGUGUGCUGAAGUGUGAGGAAAGUGGUGGCAAAUCACAGAGAGACAGGUUCCAUAAUGGAUCUCUAUGGGGGAAAAUGAAGCCAAUCUCAUGGAAGAGGAAAACCACUGGUGCUCUUAAGGCCAGGCAACACCACUAGGGACUUUUUUUUAGACAUUUCAGGAUGCUAAUUUCCUCAAAAAAUAGCACUACUACGGCCUGCUGUUCUGUCACUUGACAUCGUGCCAAGCCCUGAGCCCAGAGCCACAGAAAGACAGGUAAUCGAACACUAUCAUACAGCAUGGUCAUGCCUAUAGUUUGAGCGUUCCAGUGGUGUUACCAUGCCAAUGCAUCAACGUUAGGAGAGCUACCGCUAAUAACAGCAAGGCAGCACUGUACCAGGUGGCAGAGGCCGUGAUUGAUCCCCCCGUUCCUUUCUCCUCAUGUUAUACUCUGGAGGUAAACGGACAAAUGUAUGUAGCAAACACUGUUCUGGAGGCGGAGCAGUAGGACGAUACAAGCAGCUAUACCGGUGUGAACAGGAACAAAGACCAAAAAAGCCAAUCUGGAGGGGAACGCUGACAGUAAUCAAAGGUAAAUGUGAGCCACAAUUUCAUGUAAAUACAUCUCUCUUUUUUUACCUUCAACUGCUGUUUAUUAUACACUUUCCAUGAGAUGCUUUCGGGAAGUUGCUGAGGUACUUUAAGGAGCACAAUAAUUCCUUCUUUGAAAUGAAUUGUCCAUUCAAUAAUUAAUUAGCAUUUAGCAUUGUAAUGAUGGUCAUAUUUAUUUUGUGUGUUUACUUAUGUCUUUGGUGAACUGUAUUUUAAACAGGUGUUAACUUUGAGUAUAUUGAGAGUGAAAGACAUUUUUAUAAACGUUAUGUGCUUUGGGGUUGUAUCAUGGAAAUGGAUUUUUCCUUGGGUCUAAUGCUAAAAGUAAGCAAAGUAAUUAUAUUUCUGUUCUGAGGUCAUUCAUUUAUGACAUGUUUUCACAUUAAUCAAUUAUACAGUUGCUUUAUUGCACUGAUACCUACACCGCAUUUAACGUCACUGUUAAAUACAUGUAUUUAAUCUGAACAGUCUUGUACACUGAAUGAACAACUAGGACCAACUGUGGAGUACUUUUUUGGGUAAUCCUAUAAGCACAUGAUUUUUGUGGGUAGGCGAUUCAAUUUUGGUAAGUACGAGUGAGCUGCCACACCGUUGGUGAUGUUGUUGGAUUUGCAUAGAUCACGCAGCAGUCACACAAUGCUGAAACAAUAUUAUUAUAAUUUUUUACUUUAUUUUAUUUUUUACCAAAUGCCACAUUCAUACAUUGAAAUCCCAUUGUGUUUGUUUUUCAUCAAUCUUAAAAAAAAUAGGUAUUUUUAUAGUGAAAGAGGUGGUCAUUUGUAAAUAGAGAAAAUGUGAUUCUUUGCGUUUUUCCCCACUUAUUUUUUAUUCUACUUGCAUAAAAUGAUUCUUUUUAUUGGUUGAAAGUUAUCACCUUUUCUCCAGUUCCUGGGGAGAUUAUAGGCCUAUAUAUAAAUAUAUAUAUAUAUAUCAUGUAAAUGUAAUUUGAAGAGUGAGUUUUCAUUUAAAAAUGCUUGCACAUUUUGUAACCCCUAGCUCUUUCUCACAUGUUGUUCCUCGUGGUUGUGUUUUCAGCCCAACUUGGUGGACUUUGUGUUUGACCAUAUGCUCUUUCGCUCUUAGCGUGAUUUGAAAGUGCUUUAAAUUAAUUUGAGUUCAACCCUUUAUAGAUCAUAGAUUAUCCUUCAGCGCUUUCCUAAGUAUUACACAAUGCUGUGUGCAUUUAUUUUGUACAGAAUACUCCACAGAGUGAUGUGAGAUGCUGUUGCAAUACAAAAUGAAUAUGUUUUGAAGCUCACUCUGUCGUUUCACGCCAUCGGUUCUAAGCUAUGAGUGAUUCAUUUUGGACAUGAAGGUUUUUGGAUCUAUCACCUACAGUGUGUAUCCCAGUUCACAAACAUUAAUUUAGGGCACAAGAUGUAUUCAUACCAGUGGCCAUCAGGAACAAACACCAUCACUGAUGCUAGUACAAUAGCAAACACGGACAAAGCAGUAUUAUUUCACCUACAGAUAAAGAGUUCUCGGGUUCAAAGCCAAAGACUUUGAACUCUUGUUUUGGACGUGUCUCGGACGAAUCAUCUGCUUGCAGAAAGGGAUUUGAUGCACAGUAUGUCGGCCUGAUUACGACUUACAUGUAUAUUGGUUUUGGUAUACAGAUCGGUAACUCUUCUUCAUAUCUUGACAUCGUACUCUCCAACCUUGAGCAAGGAUGUGCCACCGUGUUACUCAUUGGCAGCUUCGUGUGCGUCUCUAGGCUGUACAGAACCCAGCGGGGCAACCGUGACCCCAACCCAUCCCACCCCCCUCUGUUUUAUUACAUGAAUCCGUCAAAACUAUAUUUUUAAUUUAAUAUAAAUAAAGAUCAAUACAAUAUUUAAGGACA
ensembl:lncRNA